GGCCCGGAGGCCAAAGCCGACCAACCGGCGGCGGCUCGCGCGGUUCCUAUCUCGCUGACCUCCACCGUUUGCACCACAACAAAAACACUCGACGAGGGUUAAGCACGUAGUGGUAGACAGGGAACGUGAGAACCUGAAUGUAGGAUGAUCAGUUAACAACUGAUAAUGAGCUGACGCCUUUAUGCAAGACCGGUAAGACCGGUGUAAAAACGCACACACCAAGGACAAACGACUGUCAGAGAGGUAUAAAACGGGCGCCAGACGCAGCAGCGACACACUCACAGUCCACACCACACUCAACAACAUCCACUCUCCAACACUACACUCGACAUGCACACCCUGCCUGCUGUCGUGGAGCUGACGAGAAAGGCCAUUGGCACGACUUGGCAGCUGCAGGCUGUUCUUUCGGCACUUCCGGCUUCUUCAUCAGCCUGCUCGAGUGCGAUAGCAGCUCGUGCAGGACUGAUUUUCGGACUUGUUGGUUUCAGUCUCAUCUUUCGGCUCAUUUCAAUAUAUCUACUUUUUGUUCAUGUCUGUGUGCUGGAGGAAUGGAUAGUGUUAGAAGAAGAGGAAACACACACAUACAUCGAUCUUGUUUUCAGUACAGUAGUUAAUACCCCUAGACAACACAUAGAGUAACAUAGUGAAGGACACAAUCCCCUAGACAUACCUAGCGAUAAGAGCAGCAUAGCAGCAUAUACAAAGGGACAACUUUCAAAUUACAUUGGGGGCUCAGCCGGGAUCUCAAACUCUGUUCUGCUCGAACAGGACCCUGAUUAUAUAUGCUUCUGAUUCACUGCAUGUUCUCGUUUGUGAAGUUUUCAUGUUCUUUGUUGUUCCAGGCUGACUCGUUGAUCUUCGUUGAUGACUGACUUGGUACUUCUUGUAGUCCGUAAGCUUUCUAUGCUCGGGGUUACAUGAGCAGAGUUAAUACGCAUUACAAACGGACUACAAUGGUGAGCGAAUAGGAAAAUCCGUUCCUGAUACGCAUUUACUUGCUCAUGUAACCCCGGUAUAUAUUUCGUUCGUGAAACAUGAAUGGGGAUGUUCGGCUUAUUUCCUCACCAGGUGGCAGCACUGCCUUCUUUGGACACAGAAACUGUGGCGGCGAAUGCGCCACUGUGUUUUGCACUGUGUGGAGUCCGUGCGGUGUCGGUCCGAGGGACUGAAUUUCGGUGAAUUUGAUAGCAAUUGAUUUGAAUUUUGCUCAGAUGGGUUGAAAAUUUAUAUUCAGCAAGACGUGUCACAAACAUGGAAAGGCAGGUUUACAAAGGACAGGAGACUUAGAAAGGCUUCUAUUGACGGAGCCGAAGGGAGGCGAGAAGCCGAAGAUAGACCGACUCCAAACGGUGCCCAGCGCAAUCAUGCUUCUGGUGCGGAGUUGUCAGGAUGGAGUCCGAGGAAUCAAGGAAGGCAGAGGACCUGCGUAUGAAGGAACCAGCCCUGCGGAUGAAGUUCUGAGGUGCAUACAGAAGGAUCCCACUGAAAGACCAGGUGCAAUGCUGCAUUGAUAAGAUCCAGAUUCAAGAGCAUGGAUGCUACCAGAUCCUGUGAUUUGAAGUUACCAGUGUCACUGCUGCUACAAAUGGCAUCAGCAACACUUCCUUUGGUGAAAGUUUAGAGGAGCAAACAGUUGGUGCUCUGUGUAGUCAAGCAGUAGAGUUUUGCCACAAUCAUGAAGUUGAUUAAGGUGUCAAUUUUUGCUCUGGCUUCUGGGACACCCUGGAUCUACAUUGCAACCUAUGCUAGUGUUCAACAUUUCGUGUCAUAGUAUCACUGAUGCAAGGCGUGUUGCAUCAUACACAAAUGAGAGCCAGCAAAUUGUCAGAUAUUUUCUAGUGAUAGAGAACUGCAUGCCUUUAGCAAUUGUUGAAGGUGAUAAGUAUUAAGUGGUGAAUGAUAGGGCUCAGCCACUCAGCUCCUUCCUUCAAAAGCUAUCAAUCAGCUCUAGAAGAGUAGUCAUAGCAAAUGCUUCAUAUGUGAAGGCUACUUGCCAGAACAGAACAUUGUGGAUUUGUUAAUUAAGUACCUCUUUAUUACAAGUUUGUGCCCAUUACAAGCCAAGCUUGUAAUCAGAUUGUAAUCAGUCAGUCGUGUUGGUAGAAGGUACAGUCUAUCUUAAAAGUACCGCGCAAAGUGACGGUGGAUCCAUCAAGCCUGACCGAGGAAGGGCCUGCUAUAAUUUGAAAGUCACCGAACCAGUUGACCUGGGGAACGGACGAGGAUGUCAUAUAGAGCCACGCAGAAAUCGCCGGUGAUUCGUUGCCCAUCAUUACAGAAUGAACACAUGCCGGAUGAAGGGUUAAGUCAAUAGUUUGUACAAACUACAGGGAUGUGAUUGACUUAUCUGACAGUGACGAGCGCUAGAGGUCAACUUAAGACCGUAGGUAUGCGUUCUUGUCAUGGAAUGGGUGCUGCAAAUCGAUUGUUUCAUGCGUGUGAAUAUAUGUCUGAAUGUAA